AGUGAACGCUGGCGGUAGGCCUAACACAUGCAAGUCGAACGGCAGCACAGGGGAGCUUGCUCUCUGGGUGGCGAGUGGCGGACGGGUGAGGAAUACAUGGGAAUCUACUUUUUCGUGGGGGAUAACGUAGGGAAACUUACGCUAAUACCGCAUACGACCUACGGGUGAAAGCAGGGGAUCUUCGGACCUUGCGCGAUUGAAUGGCCCGAUGUCGGAUUAGAUAGUUGGCGGGGUAAAGGCCCACCAAGGCGACGAUCCGUAGCUGGUCUGAGAGGAUGAUCAGCCACACUGGAACUGAGACACGGUACAGACUCCUACGGGAGGCAGCAGUGGGGAAUAUUGGACAAUGGGCGCAAGCCUGAUCCAGCCAUACCGCGUGGGUGAAGAAGGCCUUCGGGUUGUAAAGCCCUUCUGUUGGGAAAGAAAUCCAGCUGGCUAAUACCCGGUUGGGAUGACGGUACCCAAAGAAUAAGCACCGGCUAACUUCGUGCCAGCAGCCGCGGUAACAC
rnacentral:rRNA from 1 species